rnacentral:rRNA from 1 species
CACGUGGAGGAGGGAGACGUUCGGGUGGUAAAAUCCCCUCAGGGGGGGGGAUGGUCUCUUUUUGGAUUGAUUGACGGUACCUCCAGAGGAAGCUCCGGCCAACUACGUGCCAGCAGCCGCGGUAAUACGUAGGGAGCGAGCGUUGUUCGGAUUUACUGGGCGUAAAGAGUGCGUAGGUGGCUAUACAAGUCAAGGGUGAAAUCCCUGCUUUCAAGGUAGAAACUGCCUUUGAUACUGUAUGGAUAGAGGAUAAGAGGGGGAAAUGGAACUCUGGGAGUAGCGGUGAAAUGCGUAGAUAUCCAGAGGAACGCCAGUAGCGAAGGCGGUUUCCUGGCUUGUUCCUGACGCUGAGGCACCAAAGCUAGGGGAGCGAUCGGGAUUAGAUACCCCAGUAGUCC